CUCGAACAACAAAAGUCAAAACUUGAAAACAAAUCUGAAAGGAAUCGGAAGUGGAACUUAACAUUUUCAUUCACAAUUAACAUUUUGACGAGCAAAGUACUAUAAUGGGUGUACUAGCGAGUCGCCAGAAUCCAGGACUAGAAGACGCUGAUAUUAUAUCCAACCAUGCCUACAAGUACCCACCGAGAUCCGGUAAUUACUUCGGGAGCCACUUUAUAAUGGGAGGCGAAAGAUUUGAUACUCCACAACCAGAGGCUUACCUCUUUGGUGAAAAUGCUGAUUUGAACUUUCUAGGCAGUAGACCGACUCCGUUCCCUUACCCCCCGCCGCAGUCAAAUGAGCCUACGAAAACGCUAAAAAGUCUAGUGAACAUACGUAAGGAGUCGCUACGUUUCAUUCGCUGCCCUGAGCCAUUGAGUAAAUUAGCAGACAACCAGAUUGGUGAUGGUGUUAUGAAAUCACCAGAAUCAAAUGGAAAGGGGACAUACUAUAAUAUAGAGUUUACUUUUGACUGUGAUGCUAGAUGUGCUAUCACUGUCCAUUAUUUUUGCACUGAAGAGGUUACUCCUACUGGUGUUGUAUAUUACCCGCGAGACCCGACAAUGAGUUCGCAAACGUACCACUACAAGAAAGGUGCGAAUCAACAGUUUUGUCAGAUCUCUCACGUGUUUGAUCCCUCGAAAUAUUCAGAAGAAGACCUACUGUACAACGCUGACAAGGAAUUAAUUCCGAUUGCCAUAUAUUGCGUGGUUGAUGAAGGACAAGACGAAAUAAGGCAGUCCCACACAACCAUUGCGGUAGUCGAGAAACAUUCGGACGGAACGUACGUGUUGAAAGCUUUAAAACAAAAACUAUUUGUUGAUGGACUUUGCUACUUGUUGCAAGAAAUAUACGGGAUCGAGAACAAAAAUUUAGAUUCUAAGCCGACUUCAGACUCUGAAACUGAAGAGGGCGGGUCGGAAUGCGUGAUCUGCAUGUGCGACACGCGCGACACGCUGAUCCUGCCGUGCCGACACCUGUGCCUGUGCAACUCGUGCGCGGACUCGCUGCGCUACCAGGCCAACAACUGCCCGAUCUGCCGCGCUCCCUUCCGCGCCCUGCUGCAGAUCCGAGCGCUGCAGCGGCGCACGUCGGAGGGGGCGCUGCCGGCGGGGGCAGGGGGAGAAUCUCUGCCCCCCGGCUACGAACCGGUGUCACUCAUUGAAGCCCUGAACGGCCCCCAUCCUGCCCGUUCCGCUGCCCCGACUCUCACCCGCACUGCUCCGGCUAUAGCGUCACCGGACACUGACACGGCCUCGCAGGCUGCAGAAAUCCUGAACCGCUGCAACAUAGAGCGCAGCUCCUCCACCAGCCUGGGGAGCAGCGGCAGCCGCAAGGGCAAGUCGGGCUCCAAGGACGACGUCAAGACUUUACGCAGCACGCCGCACGCCCUCACUCCGGAGUUCCGCAUGUCGGUGCUGCUGGCUCGCGAGGAGGAGGCCAAGCGCGCCGACGAGAAGACGGCGGCCAGCAGCCCGCUGCUCCACGACCACAAGCUCAUGAACGGCGAGAACAAGUUCCCGUCGUCUCCCGAUAUGGAGUGCGGGGCGGAGGCGUCGUGCUCGGAGCAGACGGGGGCGGAGCCCGACGCCGACGCCGAGAGACUCUCCCCCCUGCUCACACACACUCUCAACAACAUAAGAAAGCCGGUAGUGUCCCGAGCCUGCAGCGUGUCGAGUCUGGGCGCGGCCCCCGCGGACCCCGUCGGGGACUCCGCCCUCCGACUCUCCGCGCCCGCGCUCGCGCACAUCGACGACAUCGAGGAGCCGCACUUACGGUGAACCGCUGAACAACGGCGAGUGUACGCCACAACGCUGGGCGCUGCCGCACCACGUAACAUCUUUACCAGGCACACCACUAAGCCAGUCCAGCGUCCGAUCGUCAGGCGAG
rnacentral:misc_RNA from 1 species